rnacentral:rRNA from 1 species
AUUGAACGCUGGCGGCAGGCUUAACACAUGCAAGUCGAGCGGAGAUGAGGUGCUUGCACCUUAUCUUAGCGGCGGACGGGUGAGUAAUGCUUAGGAAUCUGCCUAUUAGUGGGGGACAACAUUCCGAAAGGAAUGCUAAUACCGCAUACGUCCUACGGGAGAAAGCAGGGGAUCUUCGGACCUUGCGCUAAUAGAUGAGCCUAAGACGGAUUAGGUAGUUGGUGGGGUAAAGGCUCACCAAGCCAACGAUCUGUAGCUGGUCUGAGAGGACGACCAGCCACACUGGGACUGAGACACGGCCCAGACUCCUACGGGAGGCAGCAGUGGGGAAUAUUGGACAAUGGGGGGAACCCUGAUCCAGCCAUGCCGCGUGUGUGAAGAAGGCCUUUUGGUUGUAAAGCACUUUAAGCGAGGAGGAGGCUACCGAGAUUAAUACUCUUGGAUAGUGGACGUUACUCGCAGAAUAAGCACCGGCUAACUCUGUGCCAGCCGCCGCAGUAAAAC